CACAAAGCAUCAUCUUCUGCUUUUCCUUUGGCUAAAUCACAAUCCUGCAAAUCGAACCACAACAACGCGAAUCGCAACAAGACAAGAACAAGGAGUUUCGGAAUCGAGCCGUGGAGAUCUGAGCUUCGAGUUCGCCGCCGCCGGUUGAGGCCGUGAGGAGUGGUGCGCAUCCUAUCUUAGCGAACCGCCGCCGGCAUCGGCGAAAACCGCACGAUCAAGUUCUUUGGCAGCGCAUUGUUUUUCUUUCUCUCCGUGGAUCUCUGGACGCAAAUGAGUGAGGGAAGAUGAAGUUUCUCUUUAGUUUUCCUACUACACCACACCGUUGGGAUUGGCACCUCUAUAAUUAAAGCCCAAUUCCAGGUUUUCUUAAGUUUUUGUUAAGUCUUUAGGAUUAAGCUGGAUUAGUCAAGGUAAUUAGUUUAAUUAGGUAGUUAAUUAGAAUUUUAGAAUUAAGUUUAGAAGAUAUUAGGAGUAUUAUUAGAUUUUUAAUUUAGAAUUAGGAUUAAAAAGAUAAUGUUAGAAUUCUAGAGUUUAAUUAGGAGUAUUAAUUUUAGAUUAAUUUAGGAUUUAAAAUAAUUAGAGUUACUUAGAUUUUAGAAAUGACCUUAAUUAGAACUUACUUAAAAAAAUAGAAAUUUAAUUAAAUAUUAACCAUAAUUGUGAAUUGACAAUUCUACCCCUAGGCUUAGAAAUAGUUCAAUCUUGCAUGCUCCCUUAGUUGUAGGAUUUAUAGAAAUUUUCAAUUGCUAGCUAUUAUUUCUCAUGUGGUUAACCUUGGUUCUAAUGCAUGUUUAGAUAGAGUUUAGAUUUUAGAAUUAGAUUUCAUUUGAAUGAUUUUACUUUCGCACAUCCCUUGUACUUUACAUGUACCCCCUCCCCUUUCUCAUGUACGCAUUUACUCGUUUUCUUUUUUCGCUUGAUUAGAUACUCCUUAGGCAUUAGGAACGUUCGCCAUUCAAAACCGAUAAUCAAACCCUUGAUCCAACGUCAAGCGGUCUCUUUUUCAAAUCAAAUUCAAUAAACAAACCCUUGAUCCAACGUCAAGCGGUCUUUUCUAAGUCAAACUCAAAAAUACAAUAAAUGACGAUUAGGAUCAUACGUCACGAGCCUUAAGCGAUAAAGAAGGGAUGAGACUGGAGCUUUCCUACACUCAUUCUGAAUACUUCGAACACAAGACGCUCGGCUUGACCAUUUGAGGUAUUCACCUUUAUCCAUAGUCUUUAGUGCGAUCCGAAAUCAAUAACGCUUUCUCAAAAACAUAAAAACAACUCAACGCAUUCAAACCUUUUGUUUGAGCCUUAGGGCGACACCAUCGAAAAUCCUUCUUCAAGGUAAUAAAAUCAACAAAACAAACCAAACAAUUUCAAAACCACGAACUACGAACGCUCUGAUUUCUCACUUCAACAAGUGGGCAUACGUAGGCACAAGGAUCCAUUCCUUGGCGAGCACACUAAUUUAAAAUCUACCUCCAUCUCCGCAAACCUUUGGCAAGCAAGCAUUCGAUAAACAAUACACACGUAAGCGCAAACAUCCUAGAUGGUUCCCAUGGAGUAUCAUGGAUGUGAGGGGUGCUAAUACCUUCCCCUUGCAUAACCGACUUCUGAACCUGUUCGUGGUUGCGAUGACCAUACUUUGGGGUUUUCUCGAUAUUUUCCCAUUCCGUUGGAAUAAAUAAAAAUCGAUGGCGACUCUGUAUUUUUCGCGUAGCGACAAUGGUUUAGCAAGAAACAAAAUUGUGUGUCCCUGUCCACUGCUAAAGCUGAAUACAUAGCAGCUAGAAGUAGUUGUUCUCAACUGGUUUGGAUGAAACAAAUGUUGACUGAAUACAAUGUCACACAAGAUGUCAUGACAUUGUACUGUGACAACCUGAGUGCUAUAAACAUUUCCAAAAAUCCUAUUCAGCACAGUAGGACAAAGCA